CCUACGGGGGGCAGCAGUGGGGGAUAUUGCACAAUGGGGGGAACCCUGAUGCAGCGACGCCGCGUGAGUGAAGAAGUAAUUCGUUAUGUAAAGCUCUAUCAGCAGGGAAGAAUAAAUGACGGUACCUGAGUAAGAAGCCCCGGCUAACUACGUGCCAGCAGCCGCGGUAAUACGUAGGUGGCAAGCGUUGUCCGGAUUUACUGGGUGUAAAGGGCGUGUAGCCGGGUUGACAAGUCAGAUGUGAAAUCCUGCGGCUUAACCGCAGAACUGCAUUUGAAACUGUUGAUCUUGAGUACUGGAGAGGC
rnacentral:rRNA from 1 species